UUUCCAGAUAUUUUCUUAGAUUAAUCUCAAAAUCUAUGACGUCUUUGUUGAGUAUUUGCCCCUAGUUUUUCCAUCUGCAGUGACGCUAACACGACCUCAUAAAAGCCAUAAAAAAAACCAUUCAGUUGGAAACCAUUAGCUAAGAACUCUGAGGUUCUGGACUUCAAGAAUUUUGCUCAAAACUAAAAAACAAAAAAAAAAAAUCAAAAACAAAACACUCAUACAGCCUUGAAGAGGAUUGUUCAUAAGAAAACACAGAAGAAGCCAUUACAGCUUUCCGCAGUGCACUAAAAAUUACAGUGUAAGUACAAUAACUUUUAAUUUUCAUAACUUCGUGACUUAAUUGCCGUAAUACUAUUAAUACAUAUUCCAGUCUGUGUUUGCAUGUUGAACAAGUGCUAAUAAUAUCCAAAAUCUGGGUAAGGUUUAAAAAAAUGCGUUUAAUGCUUACUGAAAAAAUAAUGGUAGACAAAAUUAUGCAUAGAAUAUUGGAUAACUACAAUAACAAGUUAAAACCACAUGCAUUUCUGCAAACCUCAACAACUGCUAAAGGAUUUAUGACAAAGUAAUUGCUUAAUUAUUGGAGGGUAGGUAGCUAAAUAUGACAAAAUUCCAUUAACAAACAAGUUACUAUGACUUCACAUGAUUAGUUCACAAUUAGCUGCGUAUGAAUUAAAGGUGUAAAGUUAUAAACUAAAAGAAUAGGUGAAUACUGUCCUUUAAGUCCAAGAGAACCACUGAUUAAGGCAUUAUGAAGGUGGGUCAUCUGGUGAGAAAUCAUACAAUUGUUUGUUUUUUUUGUCAUACGUCUUGCAUUCAACAAAAAACAUCAGAAAACAAAAUGCACAGUUACAAAGCGACACAAUUUUCUAUAUAUAAAAAAAACAGAUAUAAAGUUUAUAUGUUAAUCAAAAUGUGUUAACUUCUUGCUAAAAUGGAGAAGUGGUUUAAAUCAAUAUUGUUAUGGUGUGGGGUUGUAGGCGGUCAGAGAGACGCUCGUAGGCCCAGGCUGACAUUUUAAUAGAUAUUUAAUGAAUAAUCCAGCACAGGAAUCCAGAAACACAGGACGCACCGAGGAGACAAAACGUGCAGCAACGAGAGACGUAUUGACAUUAGACAAGGACCCGACAAUGAACAAAGACAACAGGUGGACUUAAACACACAAGGAGGGUAAUCACAGGAACGAGACAAACCUGGGAACAAUCAGGACAGGACGUCACAGAGACUCACAG